UUCCUUUUCUCAGACCCGAUUCUUAUCUCUCAAUCUGCUUCCUCUUCUCUAACCUAAUUGCGCCUCUGUAUUUCUUCUUCAUCUUCUUCUCUUCUAUUAUGAGCGAAGUUUUGACAGAUUUUCCCUCAAAAUUAGUUUCUUUAUUUCAUUAAAUUUGUUUUUCAAUCGCAUAAAGUUAAAGAGAAUUUUUGAGUUUUCUUCCUCUUUAGAGUUUAUACGACUGAAUACUACCAAACCCUAACCCUCAAUCACUCAAUCACACACAAUUUUAGCUGUUUCAUUACCUUCUCAACCAAUAAUUGUUCAAACUUAGCCGUAUUGCGAACCCUAAUUUUUGUUUACCUUCUGAAAUCUUAUUUUCUUUUUAUUUUUCAUCUGUAGAAUUUGAAGAUGUUCAUUAAUAAUUGAUGGUGCCCUGACUCUUACAAGGUGAACUCAUUGGUGGAGAUAUCCUUGAAUGACCAAACUAUUGAUGUGGUGUGAAAUGCAGCUUAUUAUCACUUGGAAGUACCUCAUUUUACAAGUAUCCAAUUAGCUUGACAGUUGUGAUUAUAUUCUUCAUGUGCUUAUUUGAGUUCUUCAGGUAAUUCAAGUAUGAAACCGUCAUGCUUAAGUUUACAAAUUUGUAACCUUGCAGUUCGGCAUCUUAACUGAAUCAGGAGUAGUUUUCGAGUUGAUCAAGAAAUUGGUGAUAUAGGAUACAAGAGCUGAUUCUUGAUAACUUUCCAUUUAUUCUUUAUUAUUGUCGAGUCCUUCACUGCUUGUUUUUUAAUUUUUCUUCAACAUUUUAGCGCUAGAUGUUGUUUAUAUCUCACUGAUACUUAAUGAUUUUGAUGCUUGCCGAUGUUUAUUAGCAAUUGAUUUUUCCCACUGGUAACAGGGGAAGUAGGAUCAUGUUUCAUUGCCAGCAUUAACAGUUACGUCAAUAAAUGAUUUCACAUUUAACUAUGGCAAAGGAUGUGCUUGUUCUACAUGUAAUGAGGUUCCAGAUCGUUUUUCUUGAAAAGGCGUAGUUAGAGGUUCAUUAUGCUGCUUUCUGACCCGAUUAAUUGUUUUUGUUUGCGUGUUUGUAGAUUCCUUCCACAUUGGCUUCUGUCGAUGCCCUUCAAAGAAUGGCUCUCUUGCUCGUCGCACUCGCGAUAAUCACUGACUUCUAAAAGGUAAUGGUGUUGUUAAAGAUAUCAAGCUACUUUUGAAUAAAUGUCGGUCAUCAUUUCGAAUUUCAAUUUUGUUUGUUGUUGUGGCAUGUGGUGCCUGCCCCAACUUGUUUGGGAAUAAAAGUUUGGUUAUUGUUAUCUGGAAAGGAUUGAUACUUGCUGAGAUAAUGUACUAUUUUGCAGUGACUACAUUUGUUGAAGUGGAUGAUACAAUCACUCUAUUUUGCAGUCAUUACAAUAGUUUGGUUUGCAGUCAUUAGUUGAAGAUGAUGAGACAAUCACACUAUUUUGCAGUCAUUAGAAUAGUUUAUUUGCAUUUAGUUAUUUCUUUGUUAGUCACUACAAGUCCUUGUUUAAUCUUUAUUAGUUUGCAUCUAGUUGUCUAUUUGUUAAUCUUCACUGGAUAUUUAUGACUCGUUUUGUUUGCAGUCACUCUAUUUUACAGUCAUUACAAUAGUUUAUUUGCAUUUAGUUAUUUCUUUGUUAAUCACUACAAGUCCUUGUUUAAUCUUUAUUAGUUUGCAUCUAGUUGUCUCUUUGUUAAUCUUCACUGGAUAUUUAUGACUUGUUUUAUGCUUUCGGGGAUCUGAAAAUGCAAUAGCAAGCUAAUUGACCUAUUAGUUUCUGACAUUAAACCAAUUGCAAAAGCUUUCUAUUCAAGUGUUGCAGAUUCCUCUUCAAAGACACCACCUGACAAGAACUGGAACUAUGGAGAAGCAUUAUGGUUACAUGAAAUUUCACUCAUGUUGCCUUGGUAGUUUUUCUAUAAUGAUUUGCUUUUUAGCUUUCUGUAUGUUUCGUAAAUUGUUUUCAGAUUUCGAACUGAUUGUAGUUUGUUAUUGUGAAAUGAAAUCCGUAUGUUAAGUUUCGCAGAUUUAGAACUUGAGUAAUUGUAGUUUGUUUGGGUUGUAUAAUGAAUUUAGUGAGGUUUCUUGUUCUGUUUCAA